GGUAUAUCUAGUUCAAAUUGGCUUGUGGAAGGAGUUUAUGUCACAGGCAGACACAGAUAUAGAACACCGGAUCAGUAUAAAAUACGUAAACAGCCAUUACACCUAUAUGUUUUCUCAUGCGUCUGGACACUACGACAGAGAAACAUCACUAUCAUGGAAUACAUUAUUUGUAAAGGCCAAAUGCUGUGGUGUAAGCACUGAAGUGUUCGCCCUAUUCGGAACAUCAAACUGGAGGUACCAGGCUGAUUCAAACUCCCAAUAUAUUCCUGUGCAAUGUUGUAAAUCUCAAACAGAAGUGUA